rnacentral:rRNA from 1 species
CCCUCCCUCUUUCUUCAUGCCUAACACAUGCAAGUCGAACGAAAGCUUCGGGUCUAUUGUCGCACGGUUUCGUAAGGCGUGGGAACAUUCCCUUAGGUUCGGACUAACUCUCCGACUGGGAUGCUAAUGCCAGAUAAUGGCUUCUGACGAAUGAUUUAUCGCCUUUGGAUGGGCGCGAGUGGGAUUCGCUAGUUGGUAGGGUAAUAGCUGACCAAGGCGACGAUCCAUAGCUGGGUGGAGAGGAUGAUCAGCCACACUGGGAGUGAGACACGGCCCGGAAUCCUACGGGAGGCAGCAGUGGGGAACAUUGGAACGUGGGCGGAAGGAUGAUGCAGCAAGGCCGCGUGAGUGCUGAAGGCCUUAGGGUUGUAAAGCGCUUUUAACCGGGAUGAUAAUGACAGUACCGGGAGAAUAAGCCCCGGCUAACUACGUG